ACUCUCCAACAUUCACUCUGCUCAACAUGCUGUCUCUGCUCAUCGCCUCUCUGCUAACAGGAGUCAGAUGCCAACAACUCACUGCGCUUCAGAAUGAAGAGUUUGCUGUAGAAAACAGCAACGUUACUCUGUCCUACAGUUACUCCAAACCAGCAGUUGGAACUGAUUAUUUCUUCUGGUAUCGACAAUAUCCUGGAAAACCUCCAGAGUUCCUGAUCUCCCACACAGGAAAUGGAGCUCCAAUGUCAGCGCUGCUUCAUGGUUUCUCCUUCAACGUGAGUGAAGAUAAAACCCGGAUGGAUCUGCUGAUCUCCUCUGCUGCAGUGACAGACUCUGCUGUGUACUACUGCGCUGUGAGGCCCACAGUGACAGGAAACACCAGAACCCUGUGCAAAAACCUGCAGUACUCCACAGCGGCCACUAGAGGGCCUCACUCCCUGUUAAUCACUGGUUGAGUAUUUGAACUGAAAACAAAGAGAUGAGACAUUGUGACUGAGUUUCGUCUCAACCAUCACCAUUAUCUGCUUUAGAUCAUGGAAACAGGACAGGAUGAAAACAAAAACAA